rnacentral:lncRNA from 1 species
GACGCAUUUCAUGAGAGCAUGUAAUUAAUGAACUGUUUUCUAUGUUUCUACUCACUGGGCUUUUUAGCUCACCCCUCUCCCCUAACCCCAGUGUUGCAGGUUUAAGGUUGAUCGGGAAGUCUCAAGAGCAGAGGUUAUGCUUUUGUGAUAGUUAUAGAUUAGUACUGUUAGUGUGGACAUGAUGUAAUGUAACUGAGUUAUUGAAAUGUAAGGUUAAUUGGAGUUAUAUUUAUGGAUUAGUACUGUGCUUGGCCCUGAGACUUGGUUGGUCCCUGUUUAAUACAUGAUGUAUGUUUUGGUUUAUUGUUGAGUUAUGUUUGAACUAAUCUUGUGGCAUGUGUUGUUUACCACGCUAUGGUAAUGGAUGAGGACCCUAGAGGAGGUCUUAUGUUUGUGGUUUGAGGCAUGCACAGGUU